rnacentral:rRNA from 1 species
CCUACGGGUGGCAGCAGUGAGGAAUAUUGGUCAAUGGGCGGGAGCCUGAACCAGCCAAGUCGCGUGAGGGAUGACGGUCCUACGGAUUGUAAACCUCUUUUGCCGGGGAGCAAGCGUGCGUUCGUGAACGCGCGUCGAGAGUACCCGGAGAAAAAGCAUCGGCUAACUCCGUGCCAGCAGCCGCGGUAAUACGGAGGAUGCGAGCGUUAUCCGGAUUUAUUGGGUUUAAAGGGAGCGUAGGUGGAUUGUUAAGUCAGUUGUGAAAGUUUGCGGCUCAACCGUAAAAUUGCAGUUGAAACUGGCAGUCUUGAGUACAGUAGAGGUGGGCGGAAUUCGUGGUGUAGCGGUGAAAUGCUUAGAUAUCACGAAGAACUCCGAUUGCGAAGGCAGUUCACUGGACUGCAACUGACACUGAGGCUCGAAAGUGUGGGUAUCAAACAGGAUUAGAUACCCCUGUAGUC